AACCCUUAGAGUCCGUCUAUGGAGCUUGAGGCAGCCGGGGUCAUCCUGGCGCGUACCUGCCUCUUACCGUCGUUGGUUGCAUGCAAACUGAUCCGUGAGAGCCAUCAGAGGAAUGGACUGAGCAAGGCGGGCGUGCAAAUGACUGAAAACUUGUGGGACUGCAAGACUCAGACUGCUCUGUACUGAAGCAGUAGCGAGGCAUGAAUACAGGAACAGAAUGCUCACUCUCCCUUGGACACAGGCAAAAUGUGCUGCUGCUUUUACUUCACCAACACCUUUGAGAAGUGCUCCCACCUGUGAUGUAACUAUCUUCAAGCCCUCGGCAGAGCCCAUGCACCAGGAUGAACUGAAACUGCUGGGGAGAAGCAUGUCUUUCGGCUGUGAUGGAAGGCCAUGAAACACAGGACCAAAGCCCAAUUAACCUUCCUAAUUAUUUUGCCAUCUUUAUGCAGUCCUCUAGGUAGCUGCUUGUUUGCCACAGAUAUUUGUGCAUAACUCACAGGAAUGGGAUCAUAUGAUGGAUCACACACCGUUAGGUUUUUAUUGUAAUGGUGUUUUAAAUAUAUGUGGUCUGGAUUCUGCCCUCCAAGCUGCCCAGGGGAAUGGAAAUCUAUGGGGAGAAGAUGGAAUUUCAGAAAGAUUAGCUUGAAUUUUACUUUGCUUCUUCUCUCCCAACAGAACAUAACAAAAAUUUUAACAUUUGAAUUUGCCAUUUUCUGUGGUAUGGAAAUUUCUGUGGGUAACUAUAUUGGUGUAUCUUCUGUUUACAUUUUAUAGUUCUGUCCCCCCCAAGGAUGAAAAGGUAUGUUACAUAAUCCACCUAAAUUUUGCUUUCAUCAUAAAUGUCAGAGACAAUAAUGAAAAAUAAUGUCCUGACAACCAUUACUAAAUAGUGGGAAAGGUAUUUUGGGGGCACAUCUUUUUCCUUAGAUAAAGUACUGCUAUGAAAGACACAAACACUGUAACUUUGAGUUAGCCUUUAUCACAAUUGUACUAUCUGGACUUGGCUGACCUAAUGAAAUGUUGCCGUGACAUAUUCCUGUGUACUUUUGAAUGCAUUUAAUUAGAGCUCAGUAGUGCCCCUUAUACAACAUGGGGAGCCUAACUAGCUCUGGCUUUAAAAUACUUAUAUGGAGAAAAAACACAUUUACGUAAAAGCCUGUGAUCAGAUUUAUUGUGAAAGAAAAGCCUCUUUCUUUAAAUCAUUAAAUAUGGACAGAACCUGCACAUGACCUGACAGUGAAUGAAGUUACUUAUCUCUGAUUAUAUGCCAGAUAUAGAUUGCUGUAAAAGUUAAGGUCAAAGUCUGAAA